rnacentral:rRNA from 1 species
UACGGAGGGUGCAAGCGUUGUCCGGAUUUAUUGGGUUUAAAGGGUGCGUAGGCGGCCUAUUAAGUCAGUGGUGAAAGCCUGGAGCUUAACUCCAGAACUGCCAUUGAUACUGAUGGGCUUGAGUACAGUUGAGGUUGGCGGAAUGUGUCAUGUAGCGGUGAAAUGCUUAGAUAUGACACGGAACACCGAUUGCGAAGGCAGCUAGCUAAACUGUAACUGACGCUGAGGCACGAAAGCGUGGGUAGCAAACAGG